AGACAACCAACAAAUCUAGAGUGUGGCUAUUACGUGAUGUGUUUCAAUUUAAGAUAUAAUUUCUUUAUUUUAAUACCACGACGUUUUCUUUCAAAACCAUUGUUUUAUUACUUGUAUCACGUCUGUUUUUGUUCUUUAUUUGCAGUUUGACAGGAAAAAGGAACCAGUUGUGUAUACUCAAGAACAUAUUGACGAAGUUAGGCUGGAAUGGGCAGAAUUCACGAACAAGCAAUUACAGAACAAUAUAUAAGUGAUAAUGUAUAUAUUUAUUUUUAAAAUGUUUAGGUUUAUUU
rnacentral:lncRNA from 1 species